UGGGGAAUAUUGCACAAUGGGCGCAAGCCUGAUGCAGCGACGCCGCGUGAGGGAUGACGGCCUUCGGGUUGUAAACCUCUUUCACUAGGGACGAAGCGCAAGUGACGGUACCUGGAGAAGAAGCACCGGCCAACUACGUGCCAGCAGCCGCGGUAAUACGUAGGGUGCGAGCGUUGUCCGGAAUUACUGGGCGUAAAGAGCUCGUAGGUGGUUUGUCGCGUUGUUCGUGAAAACUCACAACUCAAUUGUGGGCGUGCGGGCGAUACGGGCAGACUGGAGUACUGCAGGGGAGACUGGAAUUCCUGGUGUAGCGGUGGAAUGCGCAGAUAUCAGGAGGAACACCGGUGGCGAAGGCGGGUCUCUGGGCAGUAACUGACGCUGAGGAGCGAAAGCGUGGGGAGCGAACAGGAUUAGAUACCCGCGUAGUCC
rnacentral:rRNA from 1 species